GAGACAGCAGCAGCCGCGGGAAAACGUAGGUGGCAAGCGUUGUCCGGAAUUAUUGGGCGUAAAGGGCUCGCAGGCGGUUUCUUAAGUCUGAUGUGAAAGCCCCCGGCUCAACCGGGGAGGGUCAUUGGAAACUGGGAAACUUGAGUGCAGAAGAGGAGAGUGGGAUUCCACGUGUAGCGGUGAAAUGCGUAGAGAUGUGGAGGAACACCAGUGGCGAAGGCGACUCUCUGGUCUGUAACUGACGCUGAGGAGCGAAAGCGUGGGGAGCGAACAGGAUUAGAUACCCCCGUAGUCCCUGUCUCUUAUAC
rnacentral:rRNA from 1 species